ensembl:lncRNA
UGGACUAUGAAUUGCUGCAAUUGUAGUCACGGUGGAUUAAGCAAAUCCAGUGGAGUGUGCGGAAACCCUUCCCCAGAGGAUGGGUGAAUGGUGUGGGGGUGCUAGCUCAGACCCACCAGACAUCCAGAGAACUGCUAUACUGGCUCUGGAUACCUCCUCUCGGUCAAAGUCCCCCCGUGGACCUUCUAAACCGGACCCUGUGCGAUCACCAUGACAGCCUUGCUGGACCUGAAGAGCAGUGUGCUGAGACAGGUGCAGAGGAGCCAAUCACUGAGGAGCAGGAGGGAAACGCCAUCGACCCCCAGCAGUCCCCUCACACACUGCCCUGGCCCACUGCCCACCAGGGUCUCCGAGGAGAGCAUGGAGUUCUUUGAGCGCACAAGCAGCAUCCUCCAGAAGCAGGAAAGCAUGCUCUGGACAGCCCAGGCGGAGGUGGGUCUCUUCUUCGUCUUCGUCUUCUCCUUUGACCUUUUAUCUGCC